rnacentral:rRNA from 1 species
UACGAGGGGGGCAAGCGUUGUUCGGAAUUAUUGGGCGUAAAGGGCGCGUAGGUGGCGACCCAAGUCGAUGGUGAAAGCUCGCCGCUCAACGGCGAGUCGGCCACUGAUACUGGGUUGCUGGAGCACUGUAGAGGCAGAUGGAAUUCCGGGUGUAGCGGUAGAAUGCGUAGAGAUCCGGAAGAACACCGGUGGCGAAGGCGGUCUGCUGGGCAGUUGCUGACACUGAGGCGCGACAGCGUGGGGAGCAAACAGG